rnacentral:rRNA from 1 species
UACGUAGGGGGCAAGCGUUGUCCGGAUUUACUGGGUGUAAAGGGAGCGUAGACGGCUUUGCAAGCCAGAUGUGAAAGCCCGGGGCUCAACCCCGGGACUGCAUUUGGAACUGUGUGGCUAGAGUGUCGGAGAGGCAGGCGGAAUUCCUAGUGUAGCGGUGAAAUGCGUAGAUAUUAGGAGGAACACCAGUGGCGAAGGCGGCCUGCUGGACGACAACUGACGGUGAGGCGCGAAAGCGUGGGGAGCAAACAGG